rnacentral:rRNA from 1 species
AUUGAACGCUGGCGGCCGGCCUAACACAUGCAAGUCGAACGAGUGGCGGACGGGUGAGCAAUGUCUGGGCACCUGCCUGAUGGAGGGGGAUAACUACUGGAAACGGUAGCUAAUACCGCCUAUCAUCAGAUGUGCCCCGAUGGGUUUAGCUGGUUGGUGGGGUAACGGCUCACCAAGGCGACGAUCCCUAGCUGGUCUGAGAGGAUGACCAGCCACACUGGGACGGAGACACGGGCCAGACUCCUACGGAAGGCAGCAGUGGGGAAUAUGGGACAAUGGGCGAAAGCCUGAUCCAGCCAAGCCGCGUGUGUGAAGAAGGUCUUCGGAUUGUAAAGCACUUUAAGUUGGGAGGCGUUACCAACAGAUUAAGCACCGGCUAACUUCGUGCCAGCAGCCGCGGUAAUAC